rnacentral:ncRNA from 1 species
UAAAUAAUAAACUUUUUAGGUGCCUGUAAUAUAUUACGGGAGAAUAGGGAAUCAGGUGAAAAUCCUGCAGCGGACCCGCCACUGUAAGCAGGGAGCUUUCACAAUUGCCACCGAAGAUACAAGUCUUUCGGGAAGGCGUGAAUCAGCAUUGAACUGCAAGCCAGGAGACCUGCCUAAAAAUGUUUAUGAGU